UUGAUAAGCAGAGAGAGAUUCUAAACUCCUUUGAUGGGAGGUGCUCAGCUCUGCCAGUUGCAGUUGUGAGACAUUUGAACAAGACACCAGACAGGAAACUGAUCUGAAUGUCUCGUCAAACCCAUGUCAGAAUGACUCACCACUUCAAAAGUCACAGGUGAUCACUGUGCGCAUUUCUGUUCUCUCCUCUUUGGUCGAGAACGGACUUAUCAGGAGGAGCAAUGUAAGACGCUAGCUGAUGAUGCAGCUGUAUGGUCUCGUUUCAGUUGUUCUGGCCUCUAAAAGUUUCCUGCUACAGAUGCAAAACCUGCAGACAUUUUGGGGAGGACUGCUAUCCAUAUAACUAACUAAACUCGGCUGGCAAAAUGUAUGAUUAAUGGCAGUGGAGCCUUUCUUGGUUUGCGGCUGCAAAAGCAUCAGUGGUUUUCUGCUUAGAAACAGAUGGAUGAGUGUUUUGGAUAAACCAUCACUAAAUUCUUUGCUUGCACAGAGCCUGUGUGCUGACUUGAAGAGAGCCAUAUUCCUCUGGAUAUUCAAACAUGUUUUACAGCCAAUAUCUGUUGUGAGUAAAAGUUACUAUGCAUAAUACACCAGCUGAAAUAUUUGUAC
rnacentral:lncRNA from 1 species